UCAAAGGAAUUGACGGGGAGCACCACAACGGGUGGAGCUUGCGGUUUAAUUGGAUUCAACGCCGGAAAUCUUACCGGGACCGACAGCAAUAUGAAGGCCAGGCUGAAGACUUUGCCGGAUUAGCUGAGAGGUGGUGCAUGGCCGUCGUCAGUUCGUACUGUGAAGCAUCCUGUUAAGUCAGGCAACGAGCGAGACCCACGCCCACAGUUGCCAGCGUACUCUCUGGAGUGACGGGUACACUGUGGGACCGCCGCUGCUAAAGCGGAGGAGGGAAUGGGCAACGGUAGGUCAGUAUGCCCCGAAUAUCCCGGGCUACACGCGAGCUACAAUGGUUGGUACAAUGGGUAUCUACCCCGAAAGGGGACGGGAAUCUCCUAAAACCAAUCUUAGUUCGGAUUGAGGGCUGCAACUCGCCCUCAUGAAGCUGGAAUCCGUAGUAAUCGCGUUUCAACAGAACGCGGUGAAUACGUCCCUGCUCCUU
rnacentral:rRNA from 1 species